AUUGAACGCUGGCGGCAGGCUUAACACAUGCAAGUCGAGCGGAGAUGAGGUGCUUGCACCUUAUCUUAGCGGCGGACGGGUGAGUAAUGCUUAGGAAUCUGCCUAUUAGUGGGGGACAACGUUCCGAAAGGAAUGCUAAUACCGCAUACGUCCUACGGGAGAAAGCAGGGGAUCUUCGGACCUUGCACUAAUAGAUGAGCCUAAGUCGGAUUAGCUAGUUGGUGGGGUAAAGGCCUACCAAGGCGACGAUCUGUAGCGGGUCUGAGAGGAUGAUCCGCCACACUGGGACUGAGACACGGCCCAGACUCCUACGGGAGGCAGCAGUGGGGAAUAUUGGACAAUGGGGGGAACCCUGAUCCAGCCAUGCCGCGUGUGUGAAGAAGGCCUUAUGGUUGUAAAGCACUUUAAGCGAGGAGGAGGCUACUGAGACUAAUACUCUUGGAUAGUGGACGUUACUCGCAGAAUAAGCACCGGCUAACUCUGUGCCAGCAGCCGCGGUAA
rnacentral:rRNA from 1 species